CCCCACAAAGCAGCCCACUUUGAAUCCCACCUCACUAAGCUACAGGCAGACUCCAACUAUCUUCUGUCAGAAGAGUUUGAGGAUCUGAAGGAUGUGGGUCGUAACCAGCCUCUGGAUGCAGCCCGUCUACCAGAGAACAGGGGCAAGAACCGUUACAACAACAUCCUGCCCUAUGAUUCCACCAGAGUGAAGCUCUCCUACCUGGAGGAUGACCCCUGUUCUGACUUCAUCAAUGCCAGUUAUAUACCAG